AAUGAUAUUAUAUUAUUUCAAUUUUACAGAAGGAGACCACACAAAGGAUGAUUAAGUGACUUGCCAAAAAUUCACACUACAGAACAGCAAACUGAACUGCAAUGCAGCAUAAAAAAGGCAAAGAAUUGCCUGAAGACAAAGAGUGGGAGAAUCUUUUUCUAUUUAGAGGAAUUCCAAGCUGGCACCAGUGGAUGUGAAUUCAAAAAACUUUGGAGGAUGUUUUGAAAUACCAAGCUAUGUAUUUUCUGGCUGAAGUAAAUAAAGAUGGCAAUCAGGUAUUAGUGAACGUCAGAGACAGUCUGAGUGAAUUCUGGAAGAAAUUAACUCGUUUAAUUAUGAUGAUCAAGAGAGCCUUCUUAUUUG